AUUCAUACCUAUAUUUAUUACCGUUGCAAGACCUACGCAACCAAUAAGUGUAUGCAUUUAAUCAAAGCACAAUGAAAACCUUACUCGUCAUCAUCAUCAUGGCUUGCGUAUUUGCGGCCUAUGUAUUAGCUGAGCCUGAGUUUGAUGAAGACUUUGAUGGUGUCCCAGAUUAUAGAUUGGAAGGGAAAACACGGGAUCAGGUGGCCAGAAUACUCGCUAAUGCUAGGUCUGUGGCAGGUUUAAUCUGAUUGCCCUGACCUUAUACCUCGGUCUUGACAAAUAGAAAGGUUUCAAUUUUGUCGGACUUUAUCUGAACACACAGCUACAGUAUAGGUACAAUAAAAAAUUAUAAUAAAAUUAUAUGCGCAGCGUAGUCUGUUCUGUGAUCGUGAUAAUUAUUA